UUUGUGAUCAAUCAUCUCAUU
rnacentral:piRNA from 1 species